UGCGCCUUGCCAGCCCGCUCAGAAACUCAAAGGAAUUGACGGGGGCCCGCACAAGCAGCGGAGCGUGUGGUUUAAUUCGAUGAUACGCGAGGAACCUCACCCAGGUUUGACAUGCAUGUGGUACCAAGGUGAAAGCUGAGGGACCCUUCGGGGAGCAUGCACAGGUGUUGCACGGCCGUCGUCAGCUCGUGCCGUGAGGUGUUGGGUUAAGUCCCGCAACGAGCGCAACCCCUGUCGCCAGUUGUAUUUUUCUGGCGAGACUGCCGAGAAAACCUCGGAGGAAGGAGGGGACGAUGUCAGGUCAGCGUGGCCCUUACGCCUGGGGCUACACACACGCUACAAUGGGCAGUACAACGGGUCGCGAAGCCGCGAGGUGGAGCUAAUCCCAUCAAAGCUGUCCUCAGUUCGGAUUGCAGGCUGAAACCCGCCUGCAUGAAGCCGGAGUUGCUAGCAACCGCAGGUCAGCAUUACUGCGGUGAAUACGUUCCCGGGCCUU
rnacentral:rRNA from 1 species